rnacentral:rRNA from 1 species
AUUGAACGCUGGCGGCAGGCCUAACACAUGCAAGUCGAACGAGUGGCGGACGGGUGAGUAAUGUCUGGGAAACUGCCUGAUGGAGGGGGAUAAAUACUGGAAACGGUAGCUAAUACCGCAUACCAUCAGAUGUGCCCAGAUGGGAUUAGCUUGGUGGUGGGGUAAAGGCUCACCAAGGCGACGAUCCCUAGCUGGUCUGAGAGGAUGACCAGCCAUCCUGGAACCGAGACACGGUCACGACUCCUACGGGAGCCAGCCGUGGGGAAUAUUGCACAAUGGGCGCAAGCCUGAUGCAGCCAUGCAACCUGUAUGAAGAAGGCCUUCGGAUGGUAAAGUACUUUCAGCGAGGAGGCGUUACCCGCAGAAGAAACACCGGCUACCUCCGUGCCAUCAGCGGCGGUAAUAC